rnacentral:tRNA from 1 species
GCCCGGGUAGCUCAGCCGGUAGAGCCCGAGACUCUUAAUCUCGGGGACGUGGGUUCGAGUCCCGUGUUGGGCG